GUGCUUGCUUCAGCACUGCGUAUACUAAAAUUGGAAUGAUUCAGAGAAGAUUAGCAUAGCCCCUUGUAGAUAACGUGCAGAUUUGUGAAGUGUUCCAAAUUUUU
rnacentral:snRNA from 1 species